rnacentral:rRNA from 1 species
GAUCAUGGCUCAGGAUGAACGCUAGCGACAGGCUUAACACAUGCAAGUCGAGGGGCAGCACAGGUAGCAAUACCGGGUGGCGACCAGCGCACGGGUGAGUAACGCGUAUGCAACUUACCUAUCAGAGGGGAUAACCCGGCAAAAGUCGGACUAAUACCGCAUGAAGCAGGGCCCCGCAUGGGGAUAUUUGCUAAAGAUUCAUCGCUGAUAGAUAGGCAUGCGUUCCA